rnacentral:misc_RNA from 1 species
GUGGUCUUUACGCAGCGCUGUUGUAGUGUUUCUGUGUGGUGUUGGGGUUGGUCUUUGAGUUUGUUGUUGGUUGUUUGUCUGUUUUUGUGCAUUGCCUUGUGUGAUGUCUUGUGCAGUGCCUUGUGCGUGCCUGGCAGUACAAACGGAUCGACGGCAACACUCGGACCAGACCCAAGCCCUUGCAGACAAUAGACGUCUUUGCUUGCUUUGAUGAAACCAAAUCAAAAA